rnacentral:rRNA from 1 species
GACGAACGCUGGCGGCGUGCUUAACACAUGCAAGUCGAACGGAAAGGCCUGCUUUCCCUUGUGGAUUGCGGGUACUCGAGUGGCGAACGGGUGAGUAACACGUGAGUGAUCUGCCCCCAACUUGGGUAUAAGCCUGGGAAACUGGGUCUAAUUCCCGAUCGGACUGCAGGGUGGUGCCUGUGGUGGAAAACGAUUUUCUAGUGGUUGGGGGUGAGCUCGCGGCCUAUCAGCUUGUUGGUGGGGUAAUGGCCUGCCAAGGCGGCGACGGGUAGCCGGCCUGAGAGCGUCGACGGUGGAAUUGGGACUGGGACACGGCCCAGACUCCUACGGGAAGCAGCAGUGGUGAGUAAUGCACAAUGAGCGGAAGCCUGAUGCAGCGACGCCGCGUGGGGGAUGUCGGGCUUCGGGUUGUAAUCUCCUUUCGACCGCGAGGAAGCCACCUGGUUGGAAGUGUGGUGACGGUAGUGGUAGAAGAAGCACCGGCUAACUACGUG